rnacentral:lncRNA from 1 species
UGAGCACCCUAUCUUGCUCUGGGAUAGAUGAAAAAUAAUCUGCAAUGAUAAAGGAAAAAUGAUGAACUCUAAGCAAUAAAAUACAUGAGUUAAAGAAAAAAGAAAAAAAAAAUUCUAUUGUACAUGACUCUUAAAUUUUGGAUCACAUAAGUAUCCAUCUGUCGAACAACUCUUCCAGAUUAAAAGUAGAUCAUCAUUACUAUUGCACUAUUUAGCUUAAACAACAUAGGAUUAUUUCCAAGAAAUGGAAUUAAAUGAUCACACUUAUGCUAUAUUCCAUAAGCAAUGGUGGCAGCUAGGCAUGAUGAUUACUGCAAAGGGGAUCAUACUUCUCCCAUGUGAUGACUACAUAUUACUUACAUAGCUAGCUAGGUAUUAACAUAACAUGUAGAAGUUUUUGUCCAAAAAAAAAAAACUUGAACAUCUAUUCUAAAAUACAUGAAUGUAAUUGAGAAAAAAGAGGUGAAAGAAAGUAAAAAAUACGAAAAAAAAAGACGUAAGUACCUUGGUUAAACCCAGAGUCUCAGAGCAUAAGUAGUGAUCGAUUCUUGAGAGGAUGGAAGACCAUUACAACGAACUCUGUGGUUAAACCCAGAGCAUAAGUAGUUCUUGAGAGGACUGAAGAUCAUUAUAACAAACUCUGGUUAACCCAGAGCAUAAGUGGCGGAUCGUUAUUGAGAGGACUGAAGAUCAUUAUAACAAA